rnacentral:lncRNA from 1 species
CAGCGAGCCGAGCCGAGCUGCCCGGGCGCACGCAGUCCCCAGCACGGCUGUGUUUGGAGGGUCCUCUCCAGACCUGGAGGCGAACUGUGGGCCUUAGGAUGCGUCUCCUGCGUCCUCCACACAUUCACCCCUGCCUCUCCCACCGGUCCUCGCUCUUCCGUUUAUGGGUGGAAGACCGAGGAGGAAGAGCCUGGUCACGUCCUUUGUGGAGAACUGUGGGUGAAAGACCUCUGCUAUGGUCUCCUUGCCUCCCAUCCAGCAAGAGGCAGAAGGGAGCUAGGUUGCACACUCCUCUGACCUGUGCACUCUUUGCUUCUUUCCACUGGCCGGAAGUUAGUUACGCGAUCCCAUCAAGCUGCAGGUGAGUGAGAUUGGGAAAUGUGCUAUCUGGCUGACCAUGUGCAGCUAAAACUCAGGAUUUCCCCAUUAAAGAAGAAGAAUGUGGGGCCGGAGAUUUAGCUCAGCGGUUCGGUGGCCUGCCUUGCAAACUCAAGGACCUGAGUUCCAUCCCCAGUACAAAAAAAAAAAAAAGGAGAAGAAGAAGAAUGUGGAAAUAUUGUGUAAAGGAAGUGCCCA